UACGUAGGGUGCGAGCGUUAAUCGGAAUUACUGGGCGUAAAGCGUGCGCAGGCGGUUCGUUGUGUCUGAUGUGAAAGCCCCGGGCUUAACCUGGGAAUGGCAUUGGAAACUGGCGAGCUGGAGUGUGGCAGAGGGGGGUGGAAUUCCGCGUGUAGCAGUGAAAUGCGUAGAGAUGCGGCGGAACACCGAUGGCGAAGGCAGCCCCCUGGGCUGAGAUUGACGCUCAGGCACGAAAGCGUGGGGAGCAAACAGG
rnacentral:rRNA from 1 species